rnacentral:rRNA from 1 species
AUGGGAAACUCUUGCCCCUGCUUAACAUAUCUAAAAUCUAGUCAAAUUCAUCAACAACAUAUUUUUUACAACAACAAUGCAUUCAAUAAUCUGACCUAUCUAUAUGCACACUUUGAGGAACAAAUAGGAGAUAUAUGUGCUUCUAUUGCUUCUAAAUUAUAUACAUGUAUUUUUAGUUAUUCAACAUGCUUCAAGCUUUUUCUCUUCGAUUUGGUGCAGGAGGAUGCCCGAGCUGACCAGGAGGACACCCUUCUGCACCUUGGCCACCACACAAGGUUAACACCUGGAGAGGCUCGAGCUAUGAGCAACGAGCUAUUGCCGCCGGAUGCUCCAGCGGCGAAACCUCCGUCGAUUCCCUCCACGGCCACUACCACUACCCUACCUACCGCCGCCGACGGAACCACCACCAUAUCCUCGCUCGGCCAAGACCAGCUCCUUGAGAUCUUCCUCCUCUUGCCGAGCCUGUCGGCCCUCGUCCGCGCCACGCUCACUUGCCGCUCGUGGCUCGGCGCUGUCCGCUCCUUCCGCAACCUCUUCCGUGCCCUCCACCCGGCGCCCCUCAUCGGGAUCUUCCUCGAUGUCGACAAAGGCAAUGUCAGCUUGUUCGCCCCCUUCAGCCACUCAGAUCCCGGCGUCAAUAAGGACAUUACACUGGCAGAUUAG